rnacentral:rRNA from 1 species
GACUACAGCCAUGCCACUCCCAAAUGUGCCCGAUCCUGUCUGAUUUCAGAAGCUAAGCAGGGCCAGGCCUGGUUGGUACUUGGAUGGGAGACCACCUAGGAAGACCAGGUGCUGUAGGCA